rnacentral:rRNA from 1 species
UACGUAGGGUGCGAGCGUUGUCCGGAAUUAUUGGGCGUAAAGAGCUCGUAGGCGGUCUGUCGCGUCGAUCGUGAAAACUUGGGGCUUAACCCUGAGCUUGCGGUCGAUACGGGCAUGACUGGAGUUCGGCAGGGGAGACUGGAAUUCCUGGUGUAGCGGUGAAAUGCGCAGAUAUCAGGAGGAACACCUGUGGCGAAAGCGGCUCACUGGACCAUAACUGACGCUGAUGCACGAAAGCUAGGGGAGCAAACAGG